rnacentral:lncRNA from 1 species
UGAGCCAGGUGUGGGAUAUAGUCUCGUGGUGCGCCGUUUCUUAAGCCGGUCUGAAAAGCGCAAUAUUCGGGUGGGAGUGACCCGAUUUUCCAGGGACUUUAUAAUUGAUGGCUUAUCAGUGGAGAGAAAUCAUGUUCUUGUUAGAAUAAAUCUUGUUGGUGGGCCAUUGGAACGGAUUUUGCCUCCGAGGUUACUCGAAAAGAGUGAUAAUCCAUAUCCUUGGCCAAUGUUUUCAUCAUAUCCAUUGCCAAACUGCUAUCUGUCAGACAUUACAAGAAAUGCUGGUAUAAAACAAGACAAUGAUCUUGACAAGCUUUUAUUAUGCCUCAAAAUAUCUGAUAAACAAACUGAAUGGAUAGAAAACUGCCAAAGACAAUUUUGCAAAAUGAUGAAAGCCAAACCUGAUAUAAUCAGUGGAGAGGCCUUAAU